rnacentral:pre_miRNA from 1 species
UCUUACGGGUGAGCAAAGAAAGUGGUUUCCUAAGAUGGAAUCUAUUCCUGGUGAAGAUGCUGUGAA